AUUUGUUCUAUGGUCUGCUUCGGAACUCCUGUAUUGUAUUGUUAAAAAUAUAAUGGGCUUAAUACUACGACAAGCAUAAUUAAAUGCUAAAAUUCUUUAAAAAAUGGAAAACUUGUAGUUAGACUUAGAGCAACUAUUGAUUAUGCUCACGUGUUGCGGAGCAACAGUAGCACAUUUUAUUUUUAUUACUAUUUUUGCUAUUAGUAUUAGGCUUAGUGAAGUUAGUGUGGGAGUUUUUACUCACUUUUACUAGUUUUAUUUUUAGUGUAAAGAGUAAGUAGACUAAAGUUCGUCUACUUCCAUCGUCAUUGGUAAUGGUAUAAAACUUGUAUUAUUUCCAGUCAUGUAGUGACAAUAACUCUCCAGGGCAGUAGGCUGUAAUUCAACUAAAUUAAACAUUUCAUUUUCAGUAUAACAACAACUUAAAUAUAACGCUUACAUUUUGUGUGACGUACUUAGACUAAGAAGAUAACAAAAUUAACAUUAGCCUGAUUAGGAUCUAACACUAAUAGUAACACUGAUAGUAAAAUCAACAUUUACUGAUUUCCUCUGAAUCUGCAGCUCACUAAGGUGACUGUGACAGGAAUAUCAACAUGUAAUACCAAGUAUUUGUAUAUUUCUAAAUAUUAUAUGCAUAUAUAUAUAUAUUAUAUUACUGUUGACUUAAACUUAAAGCUUUGUAAUAGAUGAAAAAUUUCAUUAAAGAAGUUUGCCUUGUUAUGCAAACUUGGUAAUAUGAAUUUAACUUAAAUGAUAAGUGGGAAAAUAAUUUACAUAACCAAAAUCUCAUUUUUAGUCUCUUUAAAAUUUUGCCUUCAGACAUUUAAGAUGUGUGUUACUUGUAACUGGAUUGUUUAUAUUCUAAUAUUAUUUGCAUGUUCUGUGUUACUGAGUUUACAUGAUGUAAGUCUUAGAUUAACAUUUCUUGUUUAGCUGAUAAAUUUCUUUAGAAACUUUGUAGUCUUUCAGAUUUCCAGCCAUGUUGCAACUAUGUAGGAUCAAAGUACCUGUUUUUGUGUGGUUUUGCCCUUACCAUGGACACCAGGUGGCAUACUUGUUAACCUGUUUUAACUGUAACUCAGCUAAGUAUGUAGUACAAAGAACAUGUGUUAAAAGUUACUCUAUUUUAAACACUCAAAAAUCCUCCUUAUUAGGUUAUUGGUAUAAAGACAGUGACCAAUACAGGUGGAGUGGUCUAGACUUGCAUGUGUAUAUUGCUAGGAAAAUAUAUAUAGAUUUUACUUUACAUGAAAAAGAAUCAUCUAAAGUUGAAAGUUCUGUCAAAGUACUCAGACAGGAGGUGGAAAAAGCUAAGCAAGAAAUUGGAGUUUUUAUCACUCCAGAUAAAUCUACCUAUGUAGCACCUCCAAAACGUUCUGUGUGGAAGAAAAUAGGAGAUGGUAUCCUUCACUAUUACCAUGGUUUCAGGCUUUUAUAUAUUGAUAUUAAAGUAUCUUCUAGACUUGCUUGGAAAUUACUUCAUGGAAAGGAAAUGACUCGGCGAGAACAUAGACAGCUCGUUCGUACAGUUUCUGAUGUUUUCCGCAUUGUUCCAUUUUCUGUGUUUAUCAUUGUGCCUUUUAUGGAACUGUUAUUACCGGUAGCCAUAAAACUCUUUCCUGGUAUGCUUCCAUCAACUUUUGAAACUUCUUCAGAAAGGGAAGUUAAAGUGAAGAAACAGCUUAAGAUCAAGUUGGAGAUGGCCAAGUUUCUGCAGAAAACUAUGGAUGAAAUGGCUCUUCAUGCUCGAGGUGACAAACACUCUCACUCUGCCAAAGAAUUUGCCCAGUUUUUUGACAAGAUUCAAAAGUCAGCAGAACAACCCACAAUAGAAGAAAUAAUGAAAUUUUCUAAGUUGUUUGAAGAUGAAAUUACUUUGGAUAGUCUUCAGCGCCCUCAGUUGGUUGCUCUUUGUCGUUUAUUGGAGCUCCAGCCAAUUGGAACAAACAAUUUUCUGCGGUUUCAGCUGAAAAUGCAAUUGCGCAUGCUAAAUGCGGAUGAUCAGAUGAUCAAGAAGGAAGGGAUAGAGACUUUGACAGUAUCUGAACUGCAGUCGGCAUGUAGGGCAAGAGGAAUGAGGGCACUUGGGGUUCCAGAACCUCGUUUACGGUCAAACUUAGGACAGUGGUUGGAACUUCAUUUAAAUGAACGUAUACCACCAUCUCUUCUGCUUCUAUCUCGAGUCUUAUACCUUCCUGAAAAUCUCCCUGCAACUGAUCAACUGAAAGCAACCUUGUCUUACUUGCCUGAUGAAGCUGCUACUAAAGCUAAAUUCAAGAUUGGAGAGAAAGAGGGAAAAGUUGACAACAAAACCAAGAUUGAAGUCAUCGAAAAGGAAGAAGUAGCCAUAAAGAAAGAAAUUGAAGAAAUGAAAAAGGAAGAAGAAGAGAAAGAGCAUGAAGCAAAAGCACGUAUAACAGCUCUUCCAUCUAAGAAACAUAUGGAAAUGGAUGAACCAGUGGCUUUCGAUGCCCAAGGUGUUCAAGGUAUACCUGAGGAAGCUGCACCAGUUCUUAGUGGUCAAGAAAAACCUAGCUUGGUAGAUGUUAUUCAAGAUACUAGUCCAGUAUUUGAUACAAGAGAAGAAGAAUUGGAUCAAGCAAAACAAUCCAUUAUAGAAAGAUUGAAGUUUGAAGAAUUGUCCAAGGAUGACUUUGCAGACCUAGAAGAUGCACUUGAGAAUAUAGCAAAUGAAAAGAGAAAGCUUUUGUUAGAAAAGGAAGAGCUAGAGGAACUGAAAGAAGAGAUGGCAGAUUAUAAAGAGGAUAUUGAAGAAUUUCAUGAAGUAAUUUUGAAGCGAGGUGAUACAAACCUUCAAGAAUCAAAGGCAGCAAAACAUCUGUUUAACAAAGUUAACAACAUGAUAACUAAAAUGGACUUAGUGUUAGCUGAACUAGCUAAGGAGAGAAACAGUUUGCAGCAACAUAUUGAAGACAUGGCACAAAAAGGAGAAAAUGUCCAGCAGGAAAGGGAUGAUAUUAUAAACAUUAAUGACCUUGUACUGGCAAUUAGAAGAAUUCAAAAAGUGUCAGACGACAUCCGUCUUCAGAAGAUAGUUGAUGUAUUAGACCAGAUGGACAUUGAUCAUGAUGGUGCUGUGGAGAUCUAUCAUGUAAUGAAGGUGAUUGAAUUGGUUGGGAAGGACAAUGUGAAAGUUGGUGGAUCCCAAAUGAGAGAGAUUAUAGAGCUGUUAGUGAAAGAAGAAAUCUUACAAAAGGCUGAAAGAGAAGAAAAGGGAAAGAAACAAAAACCUGAACUGGAAACUAAAAUACAGGAAUAAAAGUGCAGGAAUGAGUGAUUCCCAGUAACUAUAGUUUCAUAAGAUAAAAGUUUAGUUUAAGAAAAAUGAAAAAUACAAAACUCCUCUAAAAAUACAUGUUUCAGACAAAAAAACUUGCUGAUAGAAUUAUUUUGGAAGAAAACAGUUCUUCAGAGAACCCUGGCUAUUGAGGAUUCUGAUUCACUCUUGUUGGAACUUUUCAUGGAUAUGGCGGUACCUAUACAGACUGUUAGAAGCUCAACAGGAAAGAACAUGUCCAAGUGUCAUCUGUGUUAUAAGUUUGAGAGGGAAAACACGUGUUCUGAUAUCUGUUUUGCAAACUUGUUGGGGAUAGUAUAUGCUUUUGUAUGUUUUGUGUUGAGAGUGUGUCAAGAUUAUUAUUCUAUGUGUUACCAAUGUUAGUGAUUUACCAGUGAUAUUAUAGUGUAUUUGGAACUUUUAAAGUAGAACACAUAAAAAUGGGUUGUCAGUGUUUUGAGUUUUUCAGGAAUAUUAUUGUUUUACUUUUCACACAACCCAGGCAUUAAACAGAUAAUAUUGUUUAAACACUCUAAAGUGGACAGGUGUUUAAUUAUAUAAUAAUUGUUGUACAUAUCUAUCAAGACUGGGCAUUAUAAUAGACAAAAUUACAACUGUAAUACAAAUGUGCAUAAUUAAAAGAGAUUAACUUCUUUAUCGAUGUUAAAAUUGUAAGCUAUAAGUUGCAUGUAUAGUAGUCAUGAGUCACUUUUGUAAAUAAUAUAUGUUUUAAUUUCUUUCCAUACGUUGUAUAAAGUCGAUGCAAAAAUUUCAUACCCAUAAAAUAAAAUGAGGUAUAAAUAUGAAUUGUUAUCCUUAUGAUGUAUAUGCUACCUGAAUUUUCAGUUCCCAAAGUUAAAUUAGAUCUGCACAGUUCCCUAAGCCUCGCGUUGGAAGACACUCGUCAAACGUACAACAAGGAAUUCAAUGAAGCAAUACUUCCAAAACAACCUGAGAUGGAAGAGAAGGAGCCGUUGAACCGAAUAUAUUUUAUGGAUUUCAGGCUAAGACUGGAACAAGGACUAAUGAACAAUGGCUGAUUAGCUGUCGAAACAGCCAGCAGCUUGAAAAUUCACAAAGGUAGAGUGAAACAAAGUUCGCACUUGGUUUGCAAGUGGCAAGCGAAGGCGGUAGGACUUGAUACGUGGUUCGCGACGUAUUUUGCUCCGCCGAAUAUGGUUUGCGGACGAAAAAGUUUGAGAACCACUGGCCUAGAUUGUACUUAUAAUUUUGUACCUUGUACUCCAUAAAGUAAAAAUAAACAUGAAUGAAGAAGGGAA
rnacentral:misc_RNA from 1 species